rnacentral:rRNA from 1 species
GACGAACGCUGGCGGCGUGCUUAACACAUGCAAGUCGAACGGUGACGGGGAGCUUGCUCCCCUGAUCAGUGGCGAACGGGUGAGUAACACGUGGGCAAUCUGCCCUGACUUCGGGAUAACGCUUCGAAAGAGGUGCUAAUACCGGAUAUGAACCUCGCAGGCAUCUGCGAGGUUGGAAAGUUUCUCGGUCAGGGAUGAGCCCGCGGCCUAUCAGCUAGUUGGUGAGGUAAUGGCUCACCAAGGCGACGACGGGUAGCCGGCCUGAGAGGGCGACCGGCCACACUGGGACUGAGACACGGCCCAGACUCCUACGGGAGGCAGCAGUGGGGAAUAUUGCGCAAUGGGCGAAAGCCUGACGCAGCAACGCCGCGUGAGGGAUGACGGCCUUC